AACGAACGCUGGCGGCAUGCCUAACACAUGCAAGUCGAACGAGACCUUCGGGUCUAGUGGCGCACGGGUGCGUAACGCGUGGGAACCUGCCCUUAGGUUCGGAAUAACUCCCCGAAAGGGGUGCUAAUACCGGAUAAUGUCUUCGGACCAAAGAUUUAUCGCCUUUGGAUGGGCCCGCGUUGGAUUAGCUAGUUGGUAGGGUAAUAGCCUACCACGGCGACGAUCCAUAGCUGGUCUGAGAGGAUGAUCAGCCACACUGAGACUGAGACACGGCCCAGACUCCUACGCGAGGCAGCAGUGCGGAAUAUUGGACAAUGGGCGAAAGCAUGAUGCAGCAAGGCCGCGUGAGUGAUGAAGGCCUUAGGGUUGUAAAGCUCUUUUACCCGGGAUGAUAAUGACAGUACCGGGAGAAUAAGCGCCGGCUAACUACGUG
rnacentral:rRNA from 1 species